rnacentral:rRNA from 1 species
UACGUAGGGUGCGAGCGUUGUCCGGAAUUAUUGGGCGUAAAGAGCUCGUAGGCGGUCUGUCGCGUCGGAUGUGAAAACCCAGGGCUUAACCCUGGGCCUGCAUUCGAUACGGGCAGACUAGAGUUCGGUAGGGGAGACUGGAAUUCCUGGUGUAGCGGUGAAAUGCGCAGAUAUCAGGAGGAACACCAGUGGCGAAGGCGGGUCUCUAGGCCGACACUGACGCUGAGGAGCGAAAGCGUGGGGAGCGAACAGG